rfam:Aspergillus flavus NRRL3357 scf_1106286417182 genomic scaffold, whole genome shotgun sequence.
GGCAAGGUGGUCGAGUGGUUAAGACGUAAGACUGUAUGUAGCCUUUAUUCGGCACCUGAUCCACACAAUUAUACUAAUAAUCACCCAGUGAAUCCCUCUUGGAUGAUAUCUUAUCCCUUCGGGGUCGCGCGUUCAAAUCGCGUCCUUGUCG